rnacentral:tRNA from 1 species
UGAUUAUUAUCUCAGAUGGUAAAGAAUCUGCCUGCAAUGCAGGAGACCUGGGCUCAAUCCCUGAUCAG